rnacentral:tRNA from 1 species
GGAGAGAUGGCCGAGUGGUUGAAGGCGCUCCCCUGCUAAGGGAGUAUAGUUAAUAUUUUUACUAUCGUGGGUUCAAAUCCCACUCUCUCCG